GCACUCACUUUGGCAGCACAUAUACUAAAACUAGAAUGAUACAGAGAAGAUUAGCAUGGCCCCUGUGUAAGGAUGACAUGUAAAUUCAUGAAGUGUUCUGUAUUUCU